AGAGUUUGAUCAUGGCUCAGAUUGAACGCUGGCGGCAGGCCUAACACAUGCAAGUCGAGGGGUAACAGGGGAGCUUGCUUCCGCUGACGACCGGCGCACGGGUGCGUAACGCGUAUGCAACCUACCUUUUACAGAGGGAUAGCCCGGAGAAAUUAGGAUUAAUAUCUCAUAGUACUAUUGAUACGCAUGUAUAAAUAGUUAAAGGUAACGGUAAGAGAUGGGCAUGCGUCCUAUUAGCUAGUUGGUAAGGUAAGGGCUUACCAAGGCGACGAUAGGUAGGGGUCCUGAGAGGGAUAUCCCCCACACUGGUACUGAGACACGGACCAGACUCCUACGGGAGGCAGCAGUGGGGAAUAUUGCACAAUGGGCGCAAGCCUGAUGCAGCCAUGCCGCGUGUAUGAAGAAGGCCUUCGGGUUGUAAAGUACUUUCAGCGGGGAGGAAGGGAGUAAAGUUAAUACCUUUGCUCAUUGACGUUACCCGCAGAAGAAGCACCGGCUAACUCCGUGCCAGCAGCCGCGGUAAUACGGAGGGUGCGAGCGUUAUCCGGAAUCAUUGGGUUUAAAGGGUCCGUAGGCGGGGCAUUAAGUCAGGGGUGAAAGUUUUCGGCUCAACCGGAAAAUUGCCUUUGAUACUGGUGUUCUUGAGAGACAUGGCAGUGGUUAGAAUGUGUAGUGUAGCGGUGAAAUGCAUAGAUAUUACACAGAAUACCGAUUGCGAAGGCAGAUCACUACGUGUAAUCUGACGCUGAUGGACGAAAGCGUGGGUAGCAAAUGGGAUUAGAUACCCCAGUAGUCCACGCUGUAAACGAUGGUCACUAGCUGUUUGAUUUUAGGAUUGAGUGGCUAAGCGAAAGUGAUAAGUGACCCACCUGGGGAGUACGGUCGCAAGAUUGAAACUCAAAGGAAUUGACGGGGGCCCGCACAAGCGGUGGAGCAUGUGGUUUAAUUCGAAGCAACGCGAAGAACCUUACCUGGCCUUGACAUCCUGCGAACUUUCUAGAGAUAGAUUGGUGCCUUCGGGAACGCAGAGACAGGUGCUGCAUGGCUGUCG
rnacentral:rRNA from 1 species